rnacentral:rRNA from 1 species
GUCGAACGGUGAAGCCCAGCUUGCUGGGUGGAUCAGUGGCGAACGGGUGAGUAACACGUGAGCAACCUGCCCCUGACUCUGGGAUAAGCGCUGGAAACGGCGUCUAAUACUGGAUAUGUACCACGAUCGCAUGGUCUGUGGUUGGAAAGAUUUUUCGGUUGGGGAUGGGCUCGCGGCCUAUCAGCUUGUUGGUGAGGUAAUGGCUCACCAAGGCGUCGACGGGUAGCCGGCCUGAGAGGGUGACCGGCCACACUGGGACUGAGACACGGCCCAGACUCCUACGGGAGGCAGCAGUGGGGAAUAUUGCACAAUGGGCGCAAGCCUGAUGCAGCAACGCCGCGUGAGGGAUGACGGCCUUCGGGUUGUAAACCUCUUUUAGCAGGGAAGAAGCGAAAGUGACGGUACCUGCAGAAAAAGCGCCGGCUAACUACGUGCCAGCAGCCGCGGUAAUACGUAGGGCGCAAGCGUUAUCCGGAAUUAUUGGGCGUAAAGAGCUCGUAGGCGGUUUGUCGCGUCUGCUGUGAAAUCCGGAGGCUCAACCUCCGGCCUGCAGUGGGUACGGGCAGACUAGAGUGCGGUAGGGGAGAUUGGAAUUCCUGGUGUAGCGGUGGAAUGCGCAGAUAUCAGGAGGAACACCGAUGGCGAAGGCAGAUCUCUGGGCCGUAACUGACGCUGAGGAGCGAAAGGGUGGGGAGCAAACAGGCUUAGAUACCCUGGUAGUCCACCCCGUAAACGUUGGGAACUAGUUGUGGGGUCCAUUCCACGGAUUCCGUGACGCAGCUAACGCAUUAAGUUCCCCGCCUGGGGAGUACGGC